GUUGAACGCUAGCUGCAGGCUUAACACAUGCAAGUCGAGGGGAAACGACAUCGAAAGCUUUCUUUUGAUGGGCGUCGACCGGCGCACGGGUGAGUAACGUGUAUCCAACCUGCCCAUCACUUGGGAAUAACCUUGCGAAAGUAAGACUAAUACCCAAUGAUAUCCCACGAAGGCAUCGGAAUGGGAUUAAAGAUUUAUCGGUGAUUGAUGGGGAUGCGUCUGAUUAGCUUGUUGGCGGGGGAACGGCACACCAAGGCAACGAUAAGUAGGGGUUCUGAGAGGAAGGUACCCCAGAAUUGAACUAAGGCACGGUCCAAAAUCGUAGGGGAGGCAGGAGUGAAGAAUAUUAGGCAAUGGAGGAGGACCUGACCCAGCCAAGUAGCGUACAAGAAGCCUGCCAUAUGGGUUGUAAACUGCUUUUAUAAGAGAAUAAAGUGGGUAACGCGUGACUUUUUGCAUGUACCUUAUGAAUAAGGACCGGCUAAUUCCGUG
rnacentral:rRNA from 1 species